rnacentral:lncRNA from 1 species
CUGCCGAUUUUAAAGCGACGUUGAAGGUCAUCCACUCCGAGGUCCUUUCUAUGCUGGCCAAGAAUGCUGAACUAAAGGCCAAGCGUACUCAAUAUCUUCGAGCCGUAGCUGAGAAAGAGUCUUUGCGCAUGGAGAUUAACAAGGCUGAGGACGAGUUGAAAGAAAUCUCCUCCGAAGUCAUGGUUGAAGACUCUUUGAUGGUUAAUUUGGCUGCUCAGAUGAGGGAACUUCAAGCCAAAAUGGACGACUGAAGGGCGAG